rnacentral:rRNA from 1 species
AGCGCAGGUGGUUUAUUAAGUCUGGUGUAAAAGGCAGUGGCUCAACCAUUGUAUGCAUUGGAAACUGGUAGACUUGAGUGCAGGAGAGGAGAGUGGAAUUCCAUGUGUAGCGGUGAAAUGCGUAGAUAUAUGGAGGAACACCGGUGGCGAAAGCGGCUCUCUGGCCUGUAACUGACACUGAGGCUCGAAAGCUGGGAGCAAACA